AAAAGAGGCUGCAGAUUCUUAGUGGACAGCUCUCAUAUCCCCUCCAGGGAAAAUGAUGAAAAAUGUCUUCAGAAAAAUAGCUUUAUGAAGGCAAGAGGACUUUUUGCACCUGCAAGACAUGUCUGAAAGCUCCUCAGGUCAAAACACAAGUAGUCAAGAGAUUUGUCCAUCUAAUUCAUCAUACUACUCUGAUCCAAGUGAGACCCACACUGGGUCAGCUCCAUCAAGGAGAAGAACAUUCCACCCACGUUUGGAUUCUGGAAUAUCAUCCUUGCUUCCAUCAGAUUCUUGUAAGUACCUCACUUGGCACAAGGUAGACAUGACGUUCAAGGAAGUCAACUGCGUUGCCCAAGAGUAAGAGAAGGAAUCUCUGAAGAAGAGCAACUUUUCAGACAGGUAGAGUGUGCCUUGCUCCCAAGGAAAAGAGUUCUUGAAAAAAACAAAUGGGAAACAUGGCUACAAGAAAACUGGGAAGACUGCAAGAUCCACCAAUAAGAAGACAGCACAAUUCAAAAGAGAAAGGACUUAAUGACAGAGCUAAUAAUGUAAAUCCCAGUAGGUUAGAAGGUGGCCCCAUUUCUGGGACACCUACAGGCAAACUUCUCUAUCAUUCUCUAGGAGUCAAACAUGAUAUUAGUUCAUUACUGCUUAACUUAAAAAAAAAAUCAGUGGCUAGAAAUUCUUGCCAGCUAAGUAUGAAUUUUGAAGCCAGAAGACAUAGAUUUUAAUAUUUGCUUUGUCACCUACAGGCCUUAUGAUUUUGAAUAAGUUACUUAAAAUGAGGGAUAAAAACCAAUCUGACAGAGUUGUUGUGAGGAUUUAAAGAGAUGCAUAGGAAGCAAUUCAUGUUAAGAAAAUCAUGCAGCCAAUGGGGGCUUUCAAGGAGGUCAGUUCCAUCAUUAGCUGACUUAGCAUAUCUGCUAAAAGGUUUCAGUAUCUUUCAUGCAGGCAAAUUCAAAUGCCAUAGAUUUCUCCCAGCCAGAGCCCUCAGAAUUCCCAGAUCUAGAAAAGCUGUCAUUCUAAAGAAAAUGCUGCUUUUUAAUGCCGCUAUGUACAUGACCACUGUUAACUGGAUUGAACUGAAGGAUCUGUUUCUGAACAUAGAAGUGACUCCCUGAAUUUGAAAUAGGAGCUUUAGAAGUGCUCGCUUUCAGGAAAAAAUAACAGCAUAAUAUUAUUUCCCACUCCCUCUUUUAUAUUUAUCAGCCAGAAUUCUUCUUUAACUAUCACUGAAUAUUGUGGGCUUGCUUUACUUUCUCUCUCUUUCUAAACUUUUAACUUUGUAAUGAGCAUAUAUAUCAUGAUCUCAUUCUUUCUCUCAUGGUUAGUUGGCUAAAUCCACUCAUUGAUUUUUUUUCCCUUAUAAGACUGUAAAAACUGGAAUGAAAUUCUCUUAUAAAAACAGAUUGUAGACAGUCCCAUUUCUCUGAUCAAUAUUUACCACCUGCUGAAAGAUCUAUUAGAUCCCUGAAAGGGCAAGCUAUGGCAAGGUCAUCAGGUCAAUUAAUAUGAAUAAUAUUUUAUUUUAGCUCCACUGCAAAGAUAAGCAACACAGAAUGAAGUGAUAGCCAUUCAUCUUCCUUAUAACAAUAGGCAAAGUCCAUUCACUUAUAAAGAGAAUAAGUGAAAUAAAAUGCUUUUGUUCAAUAUAGUUUUUUUUUUUUUAACUUUUGCUUUAGAGUAUUCUCCUGUUUGCCAAACUUAAAAAUGCUGGAUGGAAUCUUGAAGCUACCAGAAGAUUGCUUAUCACCAGAAACCAAUAUUUUUUCAAAAAUAUGCCUUGUAUCCUAAUGCAGUCUGUAUAGAAAGAAAGCAAUCAUCAUUGUUGCUAAAAGCUAAUAAACACAGGACAUGCAUGAUUAAAUAUUGCAGUUUAUUUUAUAUCUUUUUGCUUUUCUAAAUCAAGGUAGGAAAAUAUUUUCUGUAAAGGACCAGAUGGUAAACAUUUCAGGCUUUCUGGGCUAUAUGGUCUCUGUCACAACUACUCAACCCUGCCAUUGUAGUGCAAAAGCAGCCAUUGAUAAUAUGUAAA
rnacentral:lncRNA from 1 species